CGGCGCCUCCGGGGGCGGGAGCAGAGAGACAAGGAAAUGCUGUCACCGCCGUUAAUACGCACGCGGAGUUUGUUAAAGGUAGCUGGAGUCUAGCUCCCAGGUCAGUGCCAGCCGUAAAGGAGGGCCCAGGGGAGCAGGUGGCUAUGCCAAAGUCACUUCCAGGCUGUGGACUAAGGGCUGAGAAAUACGACACCUGCCAGUGCCCAUUCCAGCUAUGACCUGGCUGGGGCAGCCUUGGGUCAAGGCCUCUCUGUAGUCCUGGUUUCCACCAACAUCAGGAAGGGGAGCUGCCGGAGCCACCCAGGCAGGCACCCCAGGACUGUGCCAGUACGCGGGCCUCUCACUGUUGUGGCCUCUCCCGUUGCGGAGCACAGGCUCCGGACGCACAGGCUCAGCGGCCAUGGCUCACGGGCCCAGCCGCUCCGCGGCAUGUGGGAUCUUCCAGGACCGGGGCACAAACCCGUGUCCCCUACAUCGGCAGGCGGACUCUCAACCACUGCGCCACCAGGGAAACCCUAAUUCCUGUUUUUUUAAGGCCAGGUAGAGAGAAAAAGCUCUAGAUUCUGACAGCCUCUUCCAUCCUUGGCUGUUAGUGAGGAAGUUUGCAAGUGGUUGCCUUUUUAUAUUUGCUCCUUCAUCUUGAAGAUAAUAAGUAGGCUUGUAUUGUGCUUUUCUGCCUAGUGGGAUUUGGUGUCUAGAUCACAAAGCAGCCCCACACUGCAAACCAGUGGGGGGAACAUGCCCACUGGCUGUGUUGCUACUGCUGCAACCCCAGCAAGGGGUUUGUCUGCUUCGGAGAAAUGAAUUUUGUAUUGUUACUGCUUUUUAUUAAACAUUUUGCCCACACCCAACUUUGUAAAGUUACUAAUCUUUUCUCGAGAGUCUUCAGUGAAUAGAAGCUAAGUUGCAAUACUGCAUUGUACAGAGGCACCCCGGUUUCUUAAUAUGCAACAAAAGACUGGCUGUGAGUUUGGGGGCUAUGCCUUGCCUGUUUUCUUCUGAUGCUUUUGCAUUUAUGUUCUUAAGUCACCUUUUAGUCUAAUUGUUUGAUUGAAUUAUAUAUUUCAGUUACAUCUUGGUGAUUGGAGUUUUGUUUUGGGAUGUGGCUCUGGUGAUGGAGUGGGUGAUAGGCGAA